UUGCACGCUGGCGGCAGGCCUAACACAUGCAAGUCGAACGGUAACAGAAAGCAGCUUGCUGCUUUGCUGACGAGUGGCGGCCGGGUGAGUAAUGUCUGGGAAACUGCCUGAUGGAGGGGGAUAACUACUGGAAACGGUAGCUAAUACCGCAUAACGUCGCAAGACCAAAGAGGGGGACCUUCGGGCCUCUUGCCAUCGGAUGUGCCCAGAUGGGAUUAGCUUGUUGGUGGGGUAACGGCUCACCAAGGCGACGAUCCCUAGCUGGUCUGAGAGGAUGACCAGCCACACUGGAACUGAGACACGGUCCAGACUCCUACGGGAGGCAGCAGUGGGGAAUAUUGCACAAUGGGCGCAAGCCUGAUGCAGCCAUGCCGCGUGUAUGAAGAAGGCCUUCGGGUUGUAAAGUACUUUCAGCGGGGAGGAAGGGAGUAAAGUUAAUACCUUUGCUCAUUGACGUUACCCGCAGAAGAAGCACCGGCUAACUCCGUG
rnacentral:rRNA from 1 species